rnacentral:tRNA from 1 species
GGGGAUUUAGCUCAGUGGCAUAAGUGCCUGCCUUGCAAGCAGGAGUCAUGAGUUCAAUCCCUG